rnacentral:snoRNA from 1 species
GCUGCUGCUGCAGUGCGUGCUGCUGCUGCUGCAGUGCGUGCAGCCGCUGCUGCAGCAGGCAGCAGACAGAAGCGGCUGCUGCAGGUGACCUGCAAAGGCGCUGCUGCUGCAGUGCCUGCAGCUGCUGCAGCAGCAGACA